rnacentral:rRNA from 1 species
UACGGAGGGUGCGAGCGUUGUCCGGAAUUACUGGGCGUAAAGGGUCUGUAGGUGGCUUGCUAAGUCAGACGUGAAAUCCCUCAGCUUAACUGGGGAACUGCGUCUGAGACUGGCGAGCUUGAGGGCAGGAGAGGAACGCGGAAUUCCAGGUGUAGCGGUGAAAUGCGUAGAUAUCUGGAGGAACACCGGUGGCGAAGGCGGCGUUCUGGACUGCAUCUGACACUGAAAGACGAAAGCCAGGGGAGCAAACGGG